CCUACGGGAGGCAGCAGUGGGGAAUAUUGCACAAUGGGCGGAACCCUGAUGCAGCGACGCCGCGUGGGUGAAGGAGUAUUUCGGUAUGUAAAGCCCUAUCAGCAGGGAAGAACAGUGACGGUACCUGACUAAGAAGCACCGUCUAAAUACGUGCAAGCAGCCGCGGUAAUACGUAUGGUACAAGCGGUAGCCGGAUUUACGGGGUGUAAAGUGAGCGCAGGCGGCGUGUUAAGACUGGUGUGAAAGCGCGCGGCUCAACGGCGGGACUGCCUUGGGAACUGGCACGCUGGAGUGCUGGAGGGGUAGGCGGAAUUCCUAGUGUAGCGGUGAAAUGCGUAGAUAUUAGGAGGAACACCAGUGGCGAAGGCGGCCUACUGGACGGUGACUGACGCUGAGGCGCGAAAGCGUGGGGAGCAAACAGGAUUAGAUACCCUGGUAGUC
rnacentral:rRNA from 1 species